GAACAGGGAUAGCAAACAAGACGUAGGAGUUUUGCAGGAGUUUAGUGGGAUGUGUGCGAGGGAGCCUGGAACAAGCCCCUGCGAUCACAAAGAUCACAAGGAGCCUGGUGGAGAAGAGAACAUAAUAACAACUUGACCCGAGGAGCCAGCAACGAGGUGUUGACACUUUGGCGGUCAAAUAGAAACUGAGAAAAUGGUGCCUCCAACUGCCAGUUUCAAAGGAAGCAAAGAGCACUUGCACGGCCAAGUGGGAAUCACGAGUAGCUAGUCAAUCUUCCCGCAAAGUCCCUGUGCAGGUGCAGAACCCCAUUCCUUAUGAAUGCAACAGAUCAUGAUCCAGAUCAAUUGUUAUGGAGCAGCUAACAAAUAAAUUUAUUUAUUUAUUUAU